UGAUUAUAAAAGGGCAUCAUUUAAAAGACAAAUGACAUGUUACCAGCAAUAGUAAAAGGAGUCAGCAAGUAAAGCUAAUUAUAGUCAGACUAAUGCUCAUUCCUUGAGGAUGAAGUUUGAGG